rnacentral:rRNA from 1 species
AGUGAACGCUGGCGGCGUGCCUAAUACAUGCAAGUCGAACGGAGUGGCGCACGGGUGUGUAAUAUAUAGCUAAUCUGCCCCUUGCUGGAGGACAACAGUUAGAAAUGACUGCUAAUACUCCAUAGGCAGGGAGUAGACUAUAUCGUAUCAGCUAGUCGGUGGGGUAACGGCCUACCGAGGGUAUGACGCGUAACCGGGCUGAGAGAAUGAUCAGUAACGUUUGAGCUGGGAAACGGUACAAACUCCUACGGGAGGCAGCAGGAGGGAAUAGAGCACAAUGGGGGAAACCCGGACGCAGCAACGCCGGGUGGAGGAUGACGCUUUUCGGAGCGUAAACUCCUUUUGUUAGGGAAGCGGUACCUAACGAAUAAGCAACGGCUAACUCCGUGCCAGCAGCCGCGGUAAUUC